UAAAUUAUAACAAUAAUGCUAUUUGUACUGAUUUGGGUUACAAAACUAAUUGACAAAAUGACAUUUACGGCUAGGAUUAAAAAGCAGUGGACGGCUAUGAUUUGAUACCCACUCUAUCUCUGCUUAUUGAAAAAAAAAAAGGAAAAUGGGAAGCGGAAAGCACCAAAACCAUUUUUCCCCCCCAGAUUCCACUACCGCAAAUCCGACUUGCAUUUCACGUCCUAAAUCCACACUCAUGUUUUGUAGAAGAAAGGCAGAGAGAAACCCAGCAAUAUUGUCGUGCCCAAUCUCCAUCUCCGACAAUCGUCCAGCUCCAACGACUGUGCAGAUCCAACAGUUUACCCAACAAUAUUGCCUUGUCCGAUCUCCAUCUCCGGUAGUCCCUUGACAUUAUUGAUCGCUUGUCAUUUGGUUGCAGAUUGAUCUACGUUUCCAGAGCCAUGCUGUUUUGGAACUUCAGGAGGCUGUCGAAGCUUACCUUGUGGGUCUGUUUGAGGACACCAACCUAUGUGCCAUCCAUGCCAAGCGUGUGACCAUCAUGCCCAAGACAUCCAGCUAGCUCGUCGAAUUAGGGGGCGAGCGUGCUUAGACAACCCCUGAUCAUCUUGCUUACAUGUGAUGGUAGUAAAUGGUGGUGUUCUUUUGUCUAUCUUCGUUAAGGAGUAUAUAAGUACUCGACUAUAAUUUUAAUUCCAGUUGGUUAUGUGGACAAUGGUUUUCAAUGGCCGGUGGUGGUGAUGUGCUGUAAUGAAAUUGGUGUUCUUUUUGUGGGGUGCAUAGGGUGAUUAACUUUACCGGCAGUUUGUUUUGUGAAAACUCGAGUAACUGUUGUUGAAUGUCAUCUUUAUAUUUGCUGCUAAUGUGGUGAAUUGGUAGGUAAUAGUUCUUUUAUAUAACCAUCUGGUUGCUAAAAUUAGUGUAUAAUUACUGAUUGCCCUUUAUGGUUUUCGACUUGGUUGCAAGCGGCAGAC
rnacentral:lncRNA from 1 species